GGGAAUCUACGUCACCCGAAAAGCGACUAUAAACGCCGGCGCCUCCGUCCCCAGCCGCGGCUCGGGAAUCCACCCGAAGAGUGGCUAUAAACGUCCGCGCCUCCAUUGCGCUCUCCUCUUCACUUAGGACACUGGUCCUCCCACGCCUGACACCGACGUCGCCAGGACCGCGGGGUUGGGGGAACUUGGCUGUCCCACGUCUUUCAAAUAAAGCUGUUUUGUCUAACUCAC
rnacentral:lncRNA from 1 species